GACGAACGCUGGCGGCGUGCUUAACACAUGCAAGUCGAACGAAAAGGCCCUGCUUUUGUGCGGUGCUCGAGUGGCGAACGGGUGAGUAACACGUGAGUAACCUGCCCUUGACUUUGGGAUAACUUCAGGAAACUGGGGCUAAUACCCGAUAGGAUCUCCUGAUGCUUGGUGGGGGUUGGAAAGUUUCGGCGGUUGGGGAUGGACUCGCGGCUUAUCAGCAUGUUGGUGGGGUAGUUGCUUACCAAGGUUUUGACGGGUACCCGGCUUGAGAGCGUGACCAGGCACCAUAGGACUAAGAUAGGGCCCAGAGUCCGACGGGAGGCAACAGUGGAGAAUAUGACACAAAGGGCGGGAGCGUGAUGCGGCAACGUUGCGUUCGUGAUACCGGCCUUGUAGUUGUAAACCGAUUUCGCCUGUGAUAUAGCGGGAAUGACGGUAAUUAGUAAAGAAGCCGCGGCUAACUACGUG
rnacentral:rRNA from 1 species